GUCAACAUGGCCGAGUGGUUCAAGGCGUCAGACUUAAGAUCUGAUGGAGCAAUUCCGCAUGGGUUCGAACCCCAUUGUUGACA
rfam:Vitrella brassicaformis CCMP3155 genome assembly, contig: scaffold226